UAAUACCAUUAUUAAUAGGUGAAAGAGCAUUUUAGACCCUUGUCCGAAAAUCAGUCACACACCCAUUUUUCUCUUUUUUUCUCUCUCAAAAGGCUAACCCACCACUGCCUAUCGCCGCCGUCGAAGCGGAUCACCAGAUGAACGGUGAUCUCCUUACCCUCACUUCUCUUUCCCCAUAUUUCUCUCUCCGGCAAACGCUACCUCCAGCUGGCAACAACAAACCCAACUCCAGUGCUGCCUCCCUCCAAAAUAGCCCGCCAGCUACUCCCACUGAUGUAAAUCACGAAAACAACUAGUACGCCGCUCCGAGAAACCGCAAAAACAACCAUUCCACAGUUCUAGCAAGCUGCGUCGCCUCGAUGCCGACGCCCUUCCUCUUCUCUCAUCUGCCAUUACUCCACUAGUCAUCAGUCGCCACACGUCAUCCCCUCUUUCAUUGUGAACCAAUGCCGACAGGCUCUUGCCUGUGGACUGUGAGUAGCCGCUCCGACAAUCAUCAAGAGCCGCUGCCGACCUAUUUUCAUCAAAAAUUGAUGAGUUCUUAAAGAACUCUUCCUCAGGUUGAAGACAAGAAUUUAGACGAGAUGAAGAGUUGUCAGGGUUUUGAGAGUAGUUAAGGACUGUCCCACUUAGCCCUUGUACGUUUUUCUUCUUUGUUUAUUCAUUGACCUGCAAUAAAGUUUGUACCUCUACAAUACAUAAUAAAUUACGGGGACUCUUUAUGAAA